ACGGACAGGAGACAUGCUGUUUUGUUGAAGUGCGAGAGUAACUUUUAUUGAUAUUAUUGUCAUUUUAUUUGUGUUGCCAUAGGCAAACUCACCGUUUGUAGAUUACACUUGGAUUAUUUAUCACAAAAGAAGAUAUACGUAUGGUGGCUGGGAAGUGCAAAGCACAUUUACAACAUAGACAACAAAAUAACAUUUUAGAAAACACUUCUACAUAAAAAAAGGCAAAUAAAAAAAUUGACAACAAAAUAACAAGUCCGCAACAAAUUAACAAGUGGCUCUUGACGGAAAGGGAUUGUCUGAAAUACCGGAAGUGACUCAACAAUGUUUCUGGCCCAAACAAAGCGCUAGCGGAAGAGGAGCGAAAGCACACGGAUAACACCAGCUAUGGUUCCUUCUUGCUGUGCGGUCGGUUGUAAUGUUAGAUUGCACGACCGACAAGGGAAUAAGCUUGAAAUGGUUUAUCUUUUCAUUCUUUCCCCACCUGGAAGCAACAUGAGGCAGCUCAUGUAUCAGAUGUUACCAAAAGAAGACGUCUAGUCUGGAUAGCAGCUGUGAGACGAGCUGAUAUCCAGCUCUCUUCCAUCUCCAAAUAUCUGUUGGUGCUCCAGACAUUUUCAUUCCGGCAAACCAGCCUAUGAAAUGGAUGAAACACAUCGUGACUGGGUUCCAGCGCUACACAAGGGGCACUCCGAAAUCCCUGCUUCAAACAUACCGCCAUGCCAAUCAGAUUACUUCUUCCAUGUGAGGGUGAAGAUGUGACCCUUCUGGAUAAGAUGGUGAAGGUUUGCUGCGUUUUGGUGAA